GAAACACUCGUUUCCUGUUGCGUAACACGCAGGAUUUGCAUAGGUAUAUAAGAAAUUUCGAGCGAGACAUAGCUAUUAUCAAUUCAAUCGAAAUACUGGCGAAAGAAUGGCGAAUUUCAAACUCUUCUCAGUGACGGUUUUGCUUGGGCUGCUCACAUUCGGACAAGUGUUCGGGCAGCUUGGAAGUCCGUGCACCGCUUGUUACGGUGGACGGCUCGGGCAUGGCUUCAGUAGAUGCAGAAACGACGUGAGUCCGUGCUUUAUGGCAAGAUGCCCUUCUGGUUCUUGCAGGAGUGGUUGCGGUUGCUCCGCUAUUUGUGUGGACGACGACAACAAUUGCUUCUAUGCUAUUGAACCAUAUGGAAACUAGCGUCGAGUAUUGGCUCUAUCAGUCUUACCGAGAUUAAUGGAUUAAUUAAUUUCCUCAAAGCAAUGUUUGGUUUAAAAGACUAAUUAUGUACAUCUAUAUAUGACAGUCUGAUCAAGGAACGGGAUUUUCAAAUAGCGUGUAUCACAGUCUGUUAGUUGUCGCAAAUAAACUACAAUGCAAUUGCUUAAUGUAUAUCAAGAGACGGAAUUCUAGCUUAGGGAAAGUUUGGGCGCAGAGUUACAUCAUAUUCUGUUAAAACACUUGAGAGCCUCAUAGACUGAAAAAAAAUUGAAAGGGUUAUGCAGAUCAAAAUGUAAAGGAAAACAAAGUAACAAAACUGGCUUUAUAUGUAAGUAUAAUGUAGUUCGUUGACAACAUUGAAGAAUAGCUUAGGACUGAAACAGUAUGAGUUAAUUAAUUAUAUUAUAAUGAAUGCUGUCAUAGGGGUUUAAUAUAUAUUUUUUGUAAUUACUUUUCUUGAACAGACACGUUGCUAACAAUUAAUGAUUAAAGAUGUCUUUUGAGAAUAUUACUUUCAAAAAAUAAAGUGUUAACACCGACGUUUUACAUGCCUCUGGUUAUGUACCGACUGAGAUCUAUGAAAAAAAAACAGUUGCUAUAAACUUCAACUUGUCUCUCACAUUUAGUAAACCAGGCAUUCGAUCUUACAUCAAGUAGCACACGUUUUAAAGAAACUUCACGUAUACGAAAUACGCUUCAAGCUAGUCCGGACCGACCCCUAAUUGUCAAAUCUAGAAGCCCCUGACGCGUGGGUAUGCCUCCUGUUAGAUAGGCUGUUGACGCAAGCUGCGUUUUCUGGGGGAUUCUAUUGACAUGCAUCGGCUUCCAGAGACAUUUUAAAUAGAGACAUAUUUAUACGGUAAAUUUUGAACAGCAAUGCUAAUCUCAUCUUGUUGAAAUUGAAUAUGUUAAAUGAGAAAGCGGUUUACAGAUAUAUAUUUAAUUGUCAGUAAGUCGAGACGUUUCAAUUAUUUUUAACCUGGGAACUCAGUCGUGUUUCAUUUAUCUACGACAAGCAUUAAAUCCUUAAAUCGUUUUCUACACGAAGUAUUCUCGUAAUUUUUUAUACAUGUAGAUAGAUAGAAAGAUAGAUAGAUAGAUUUUUUUUUCAACGUGAGCAGAGGGUACAACGCAUUUUGACAACCCCAGAAUAUACAUAAAAUAUAUACAAUCAGCGUAACAAAGUCAAUUUCAUAAUUGUACUGAAGUUGGUCGAGUCAAUAUGGCCGAAAUAUAUGUUAGUAAAACUAUAACAAAAUGUAAGCAAUAGGAAAAUAAGCAGUUUACAGCAUCUUAACAUUGACCAACCUGUAGCUGACCUGCCACCAAUGACCAGCAUUGCAGCCAGAACAGAAUGGAACCACCAGCCGGCGCCAAGCUUCGUCAUUGCUGUACUUUACAACUGGCAAUGGUUAUCACCGUUGAAUGGUAGUUUUUCUCUUUAACAUAACUGCAAGUAGCUGCUUUUUAUAGAGGUUGGGAAAAUGCGUCAAG